UUAUAUAGUAAUUGUUUCAUUUUUAACUCAAGUUUUUACAACCUGAGAACUUUAAUGUGUGUGUGUGUGUGUGUGUGUGUGCUUGUAUGCAUAUGUAGGGUUUUGGUUAUUUUUCUACUUUCCAUUUAAUUUUAAAAAUCAUCUGUUGAAAUAAGCAAAAGAUGGCUAGUGUGGCCAAGGUUAGUGAGGCAGAAGAAGGAGAUAGGAGAUGACAUUGGUGAGAGAGCCAGAGUCUAGACUGCAGAAGAAGGCUGUGAUAAGGAGUUGGAAUUUAUUCUAGAUGCAAUGCGAAUCUACCCAAGGGUUUUUUUGUUUGUUUGUUUGUUUUGAGAUGGGGUCUCACUCUCUCACUCUGUCACCCAGGCUGGAGUGCAGUGGCAUGAUCUUGGUUUACUGCAACUUCGACCUCCCAGGCUUGAGCGAUCCUCCCACCUUAGCCUCCAGAGUAGCUGGGACCACAGGUGCGUGUCACCAUGCCCUGCUAAUUUUUUGUAGAGACAGGAUUUGGCCAUUUUGCCCGGGCUGGUCUUGAACUCCUGAGCUCAAGUGAUCCACCUACCUCGGCCUCCCGAAGUGCUGGGAUAACAGUCAUGAACCACCACGACUGGCUACAAAAGGUUUUAAGCAGGGGAAUGCCACAAUCUAAAUCAUUGUUAAUAAAGAUCACUGGUUGAAUUGAGGAGAAUGGUUGAACGGUGCUGCCACAAACAGAGAAAAAAGGAGUGAAAAACAGGAUUCGGGGAAGAUGGGCUCAUAGACUGAAAGGAUCUGUCUUGUCUUGGAUGAAACUUUGGACUUGGACUUUUGAGUUAAUGCUGGGAUGAGUUAAGACUUUGGGGGACUGUUGGGAAUGCAUGAUUGGUUUUGAAAUGUGAAAAGGACAUGAGAUUUGGGAGGGGCCAAGGGAAGAAUGAUAUGGUUUGGCUCUGUGUCCCCACCCAAAUCUGAUCUCAAAUUGUAAUCCCCAUGUGUCAGAGGAGGCACCUGGUGGGAGGUGACUGAAUCAUGGGGCAGACUUCCCCCUUGCUGUUAUUGUGAUAGUGAGUGAGUUCUCAUGAGAUCUGAUGGUUCAAAAGUGUGUGGCACUUUCCCCUUCCUUUCCCUCUUCUCCUUCUGCUAUGAUUGUAAGUUUCCUGAGGCCUCUCGGCCAUGCUUCCUGUACAGCCUGUGGAAAUGGGAGUCAAUUAAACCUUU
rnacentral:lncRNA from 1 species